UACGUAGGGUGCAGGCGUUACUCGGAAUCAUUGGGCGUAAAGCGCGCGUAGGUGGCCCCGUAAGUCCGCUGUGAAAGUCAAAGGCUCAACCUUUGAAAGCCGGUGGAUACUGUGGGACUAGAGUACGGAAGAGGCGAGUGGAAUUCCUGGUGUAGCGGUGGAAUGCGCAGAUAUCAGGAGGAACACCAAUAGCGAAGGCAGCUCGCUGGGACGUUACUGACACUGAGGCGCGAAAGCGUGGGGAGCGAACAGG
rnacentral:rRNA from 1 species